CCCAUGUGCUUGGGGGGCACAAGUCCAGACACGUCUGAGGGCAUUGCUGAAUCUCCAGGCAAAGCUGAGCAAUUCCCCUGCGGUGGCCUCAUGCAGGUGAGUCAUUGCAUUGUAGCUCACUUGCUGGACAAUGGCUGUUGAUGGGUUGUUUAACACCCCAAUCGGAUGAGCACACCUCUGAAC